rnacentral:rRNA from 1 species
AUACGGAGGAUGCGAGCGUUAUCCGGAUUUAUUGGGUUUAAAGGGAGCGUAGGUGGGAUAUUAAGUCAGCUGUGAAAGUUUGCGGCUCAACCGUAAAAUUGCAGUUGAUACUGGUCGUCUUGAGUGCAGUAGAGGUAGGCGGAAUUCGUGGUGUAGCGGUGAAAUGCUUAGAUAUCACGAAGAACUCCGAUUGCGAAGGCAGCUUACUGGACUGUAACUGACGCUGAUGCUCGAAAGUGUGGGUAUCAAACAGGAUUAGAUACCCUGGUAGUCCACACAGUAAACGAUGAAUACUCGCUGUUUGCGAUAUACAGCAAGCGGCCAAGCGAAAGCAUUAAGUAUUCCACCUGGGGAGUACGCCGGCAACGGUGAAACUCAAAUGAAUUGGCGGGG